UCAUGUGCCGUGCCUCCCUUUUCCGAGCACCUUCGGAUGCCAGGGUGGAAUUCUGGCCACAGUCCGUCCCUGGGUAGAGGUAUGAAGCAGUGAAAAGAAUGGAGACGAAUGCCAAUGGAGAAGUUGCCCAUCAGCUUUGAGGUUGCCAAGCAACAGACAAUGAGGGGAGCUGUUCUUGGCGCUGCCUGGUGAUGUCGGGAGCCCGUAACGCCAAUUGCCUGCACGUGGACCCGGCUGCACCGAGCGGCUUGGAGCAGACGGGGCAGAGCCACUGGAUGGACUGACAGAGCACACCUGGAUUAACUGUGCACCUCUGGAUGGACACAGAUGCCCCUUGCUGGACACAGCAGCCCCCUGAUGGAUGGACAGAGCACCCCUGGAAGACAUAGGCAGCCCCUUUAUGGACGGAUACAGCAGCCUCUGGUCGGACACAGCAACCCCAGGCCCUAGAUCAGGGGUGGGGAACCUUUUUUCUACCAACGGGCAUUUGGGUAUUUAUAAAAUCCUUCGGGGGCCAUAGAAAAAUUAUCAACUUAAAAAUUACCCCCCCCCAGUAGUUAUGCCCCCAGUAGUUAUGCCCCUUAGAGGUAGAGUGCGCGCACCGAAGGCGCGCGCAGCAAAAAAUGGAUGUGGCCAAUUAAUAUGGGACGUGAUCCACAUAUGCCCCCACAGUGCCAGAUACAUAAAUGCCCCCACAGUGCUAGAUAUACAAAUGCCCCCACAGUGCCAGAUACACAAAUGCCCCCACAGUGCCAGAUACACAAAUGCCCCCACACAUGUCCCCCCACACCACUGUGCUGCUCACCGCUGCUGCUGCUCCGUCCGGCUGCGGCGUGUCUCAGCUGUCAAGGCAGGGAGGAGAGC